GAUGAAGAACGCAGCGAAAUGCGAUACGUAAUGUGAAUUGCAGAAUUCAGUGAAUCAUCGAGUCUUUGAACGCACAUUGCGCCCCCUGGUAUUCCGGGGGGCAUGCCUGUCCGAGCGUCAUUGCUGCCCUCAAGCACGGCUUGUGUGUUGGGCCUCCGUCCUCCUCCCGGGGGACGGGCCCGAAAGGCAGCGGCGGCACCGCGUCCGGUCCUCGAGCGUAUGGGGCUUCGUCACCCGCUCUUGUAGGCCCGGUCGGCGCUUGCCGACACAUCAAUCUUUUUUCCAGGUUGACCUCGGAUCAGGUAGGGAUACCCGCUGAACUUAAGCAAAUCAAUAAGCGGAGGA
rnacentral:misc_RNA from 1 species